UGUGGUUGAAUUUACAACGUCAAAUUGCAAAUUUGAAGGUGUGCGUGAAAUAGCUCUAGAGCUU
rnacentral:tRNA from 1 species